rnacentral:rRNA from 1 species
CCCUUAGAUGUUCUGGGCAGCACGCGUGUUACAAUCGGGAGUACAACAAGAUUGCAAAUCCUAGUGGAUGAGUGGUUCUUCGAAAUUUUCUGAAGACUGGGAUAGUUGAUUGAAAUUAUUCAACUCAAACGAGGAAUUCCUUGUAAUUGUAAUUCAUUAUAUUGUAAUGAAUACGUCCCUGCCCUUUGUACACACCGCCCGUCGCUCCUACCGAUUGAACGAUCCGGUGAAUUAUUUGGAGUAGCUCUGGAAGUUGCAGAACUUCCUAUGUCACGAAAUUUUGUAAACCUUAUCGUUUAGAGGAAGGAAAAGUCGUAACA